UGUGAUGAUACAGCUGACAUCUGAAUCAGGACCAGCCCCUUCCUGAGACGACUUUUAAAGCCUGGGUUAUUCUGUUGAAGUGAUCAACAGUGAGAUAAUGACAUUGCUCACACAAAGUGUAGUGAGGGCGUCAGGACAAAUAGCUACUGACCUGAAUGUGGCAUCUUGCAGCAGAGCGAUAAGGUUCAACCAGCACAGAUUGCUGCUGCCCUCUCUGUGAAUAGAGGGGAUUAGCAAGAACCUGCUGUCUGUUGUGGCUAACGGGCUACUGGGCACAUUACUAGGGAUGUCUGGGACUCCAUCUGACAAAGAAUUUCCUUCCCUGGGUUUCAAUCUGGAAAGAAAUAUCAGUUGCUGUUGGGAAUAUCAAAGCCUGUUCUCUAGCCAGUGUAGUUUUGCUGUUAUGUAAAGGCUACUCAACGAUUACAAUGAUGGGCACUCUAUGGAGGCCUUUAAUAGAAACGACACACAAAAGGAGAUACUACAUUCACAUACUCUUGAGCCUACGGGUUUGUCUAUACUGGAGAUAGUUCCUUUUGCUGUGAGUGUCUCGGAGAGGUUAAAGACACGCUCUUCCUGCCCGUGUCUGUAUAGCUGUAGCUAAUCGAGGGCUUUUAUCAGCAUGACUGUGUCAGCAAAAGAGCCAGCUCUUAACUCACAUAAUUGCACUGGUAAGGCUCCUGAAGUGGAGGCCAGUGUACACAGAUCCUGCAGACGGAAGGAAGCAAGGGAAUUGCUCCUUUCAUCAUGAUAGCGUUUUAUCUGGGGGGCCUCGCACUGGCAUUCUGAGUGUUGUUAACCUCUGCUAUUUUAGGACUGGUGUGUAGGAGCACAUCACCACUGAAUCAGGCGUUCAGAUACCUCUCUCCUGAGAAUACAGUUCAGCAAGCUGGCUGGUAAGAUGUAAACACCUUGGUUAAGCUUUUCCUUUGGGAAUUCUUGCUGUGGUGUUCCCUGAUGAAAUUCUCUCACAUGCCAGCCAUCCCAGACCCUGGUUUGCAUGAGAUACGUUGAUGAGGUCCCCAGUGGGUGACUCCAUGGCUACUGUAAUUUAUAUGUUAAUAUAUAGGCCAGAUUGGAUGGGGCUCUGAGGAACCUGCUCUAGUGGAAGGUGUUCUUGCCCACAGCAGGGGGUUGGAACUGGAUGAGAUUUAAGGUGCCUUCCAACCCAAACCAUUCUGUGAUUCUAUGAUUAUGUCAUUAACCUCCUCACUCAAAGACUUCAUUAUCUUGCGGCAAAGCCUGUAAAGGAAGAGGGUUCCCGUCUCCCUAAACAUAGGACCUGUUCAGCAGCAAUUCCUGUCAAGCAUCAACAAGAUACUAACCAGAAGAGAAUCAACCUAGGAAGCAACUGGUUGUUUGCCUGUUUGAUAAGGUGAAGGAGAUUGCCAAGAGGUCCAACAAGCCAAAGAGCUGGCAACAAGGAUGCUGAUGGGAGUGUGUGGUGUGUGACUGGGAGCACACUCCUUCUGACAGCAGCCAUUGCAUGACAACUCAUUCUCAAUUUAACCCAAAGCGGGACAAAAAACCCCAAACAACAACAUAAAAGAGUGAGCCACAGAUGGGAACCAGCUGCAUGCUCUCCAUUAAAGAGUGCAUCAGAUGAAGAGGGACAGGUUUAACACAUGCUUUUGAAAGGUACAUUAUCCCGCUUGCUGAAUGGAAGGAGUGACAUGAACAGCACCAGGUCCUGCACACAUAGCCCUGCUCUUCCCAGGAGACAGGCAGGAAGAUCAGCAAUUCCACAAAGAAAUCCCCUCUCUGCCCAUCAUUUCCCAUGCCUCUGGGCAGCUUGGAGGCCAGAAGGUAGAUGCCGUUCAUUUGAAAAUGAAGCCAAAAGGAAAGGACACAGGAGGGAAGAAGCUGGUAAGUAGGACACCACAGAGGAGGAUGUGUCUGGAACACCAGAGCUCAGGGCAAGGCUGUGCCAUCUCCUUUGGGGACCCAUCUGAGUUGAGGUCAGACCCUGACCCAGAGGCACCACUCCCUUCUGGAGGUGUUUUAGAAGAGCAGCCAUGGGUGCUCUGCAUUGACACGGAUGGAAAUCAUUCAGGUGGCUGUUGAUUCACAGGUUCCUUCUGGGCAGAUAGCCAGAAAUGCUAUUGCUAAUUGCAUCAAUUUCCCUGUUCUCUCUUGUGUAAAAUCACUUUAUUAGAGGAGUUGGUUAAAUUCAGGAAGUGCUCCAAUUCCUGGCCCUAUCUUGUUUAGCAAAGACUCCUUGAUAACGGUUCUGCACUACUGCUCUCAGCUUGUGUGCCUGUAAAAGGCGUGAUUGUUUGCACAGUUAUGCUGCUGCAGAUUCAGUCGUAUCAUCAUAAGAUACUAAAACUGAUACCAUUUGUUUUAUCA